AAGAAAAUUAUGUUUUGGCUUAUAUAAUAGAUGUUACUUAUCUUUUAAUCAUGACAUGUUUAUUUACACUUUUUUCAUCAUUUUGCCAUGAACUUGAUGGUUGACAUAAUUAUAUAUUUCUCAAAAAAUUAUUGUUACAGAAGGAAAUUUUUUAAAGCAAGGUAACAAGGCAGCAAGUUCGUAGCGUAUUGCGUGAUGUUUGUGCGGGAGGUGCAAUAUGAACUAGAUAAUCAGAUACAAUUAAUGGUGAUAGAGGUUGACUAUACUCUGCAAGGAUACAACAGAACUGGAAGCUUGACGCAAGGACCAAAAAAGAAGAAUUGUAGAGUAAUAACUUCAUGCCUUCGUCAACCAUUAUG